UCUUCAUCAUCUUUAAAUAAAAAGGAUAAACAUGCAUUUCCAUUAUCUCAAGCAAACUUUCAAUACUGUGUGUUGCUUCUCUUAAAUGAGAUAAAAACCCAAGGAUGCAAAAAACUUUAUAUAAAAUAGUGUGAAGAAGAAGUAGUAACUGAAAUGAACAGCAUAAUAGAAUUUGAUAAGUUUGACUCAGCACUUGACAAUGUUUCAUCUAGUAACUCUGUAGUAUCUCUGCAGUUGUAAAUUGCUAAAUACUGA